AGGCAGUGAACACACUGUGCUGAGUUAAAUCCGAAGCUGUGUCCUUCCUGCACCCAGGCACAGUGACAAGCUUGAGUCGCACCUUGUUCUGGCCCCUGUGAGAGGAAUGGUUCAUGUUCAUGUGGGGAUGGGAUUGGGUGGGCUGGAAGGAUUUUCUAAAGCUCUCCUUUCUGCCCUGGCAGGGCAAUCGUAUCCUUAAAAAGGUGCUUUGUAAGAGUGAGGAAAUUGUCCACCCCCCUUCCUGGGUAAAAGUAGCCCCACAGGUGGGUUGCAGGCCCCUCCACCCUUGGGCCCAGGGUGGGCUGCAUUCUAUGGGGGCUGCCCCCAGGAGAUGGGCCCUGCUCUGUAGUGGUCAUUCCCCUGCUCCUGGCUCUCAGUCCCCUUGAGGAAGGCUGCCACUGUAGCCAUCACUGCCUCUAGAGUGCUGUUCUUUGGUGCCCAGUGCUGCUGUCCAAGGCUGCUCUCCCAGUCCGUCCUGGCUCACUGCUCAGUGUCUCAUCCUGGGACAUGUGCAUGUUGUCACCCACUAAGCUCCCAGGUGGUACGGUAUCUUUGAGGGGAGCUUCUAUGCACGCUGCAUUAUACUUGUGUGUGUGUGUGUGUACUUGUGUGUGUGUGUGCAUGCAUGGAGGGCCCAGACACCUGGCCUCUUCCUUUGCAUCUUCCCUGUUGGUUCUGAGUGCUUUUGUAUCAGGUCUUGGGCAUAGUGCACAUUCUCAUCUCUUUAUGCUAUCAACAUAAACAACAGUGUGUUCACUGCCUGGUAGAGGAUGGCCACCUGUUGGGGAACAGCUAUCUGGAAGAGCACUUCUGGACCUUUUUGUGUGUAACAUGUAAAAGAAGACAGAUCAACUCUCUGGCAUGAGUUAUUUUUAAAAUUAAAGAUUAAGGCACUAGUCAGAAUGAUUUCCCCUAAAAUGUUGAAGUAACAUAAAGCAAAUUGGCUACUUUUAUUAAAUAACAAAAACAAAAGUAUGGUUUAAAAACUAGCUGCUGACAUAAAAUUUGCUAGUCUACAUCAUUCUUUAUUUUCCCCAAUCUCUCUUUCUUUGAAAUCUCUGGUUUGAUGACUCAUCUUUUCUGAACAUAUUCUAUUACCUGAUACAGAGAAUCAUGUAACUAACUCUCAGAUUGUGUCUUUCUUAUGAAGAAAAAUGUCUUUCAAACUGAGAAUUAUAGAUUAAA